rnacentral:misc_RNA from 1 species
AAGUCGUAACAAGGUUUCCGUAGGUGAACCUGCGGAAGGACAUUAAAGAGUUGUCCUGCACCCCUCUGGGAUGGAGGUCUACGGGUGGAGGCUCGGAGGUUAAAACCCCCCAGGGUCCCCCGGUCCCGUCCUUCCACCCUUGCUCCGUUUGAUGUUCCCUUUCCCAACGGUUUGGCUUUUGGGCGGGGGCCCUGGGGUACGUCCUUCUGGGCACCCUGCCGGCGUCGGACUUCGUCCCCGCCGGCGAGCGCCGCCAGAGACCCUUACCAUUCUGAUUUUUUUCAAUGUCGUCUGAGCAAAAACACAAAAUAAAUAAA